GAAACAUGCUCAUAAAACUCCCUUGCAUAGGCGGCAAAAAUCUAUCGAAAGACUCGAACAUAGAAUCGGAACCAGGAGACGAUGACUCGUUGUAAGAGUCCAUCAAAGGGACUAAAGAUCUUGGCUCAUCUACAGUUCUUUGGUCGAGAAUUUCAGGAGAGUUUUCAACACCAUUAAAGUCCAUAAAUCGAGCAGCGUCGGAGUCUUUUCCGGUGAGUUCUUGCACAAGAGCCCUAAAUUUUGAGGCACUAGUCUCAACU
rnacentral:misc_RNA from 1 species